GCGGGAGCUCCCGCAUCCCUGUUCCCGCGACGCAGCUCCUCUUCCCAGCCUCCUUGGCUCGUCUCUGGAGCCUCUUCCUCCUCCCGCUUCCGAGUGGGCGGGUCCCCGCUGGAGCCUGAGUCGCACUGCAGACCUAUCCUGCGGCCUGAUGGGGUGAAAAAACUCCCAGUUUCCCAUUAGACUCCCUGGCAGCCUGGGCAACCCGACGGUUCCAGGGACCCGCUGGGGCAAGUGACGGCCGAACCUUUGGGCGCCAGGCUGGCAGCAGACGUGAUAGAGGGACAAGAAGGGUACCUGCGUCACGGGAUGUUUUGAGAUUAACUGAGAUGCUGCAUGCAAGUCACCACAGGGCAUGUGAGAUGGCGUCUUUCUACAUUGCCCAGGCUGGUCUGGAACUCCUGACCUCAAGCAAUCCGCCUGCCUCGGCCUGCCAAAGUGCUAGGACUACAGGAGUGAGCCACCAUGCCCAGCUGAGUGUGAUGUCUUUUUUACUGUGUCAACUUGGCUAGACUGAAGGCCCCAAUUAUUCCAGCACUAAACCGGAUGUUUUGGUGAAGUUGUUUUGUAGAUGCAAAUAAAGUCCAUUAUCAGUUGACUUUAC